rnacentral:rRNA from 1 species
AUUGAACGCUGGCGGCGUGCUUAACACAUGCAAGUCGAUCGGGAACGCGGGGGCAACCCUGGCGACGAGAGGCGGACGGGUGAGGAACGCUUGGGAAUCUGCCCUUCAGCGGGGGACAACACGGGGAAACUCGUGCUAAUACCGCAUACGCUCCACGGAGGAAAGCCGGGGACCGCAAGGCCUGGCACUGAAGGAUGAGCCCAAGUCGGAUUAGCUAGUUGGCGGGGUAACGGCCCACCAAGGCGACGAUCCGUAGCUGGUCUGAGAGGACGGUCGGCCACACUGGGACUGGGACACGGCCCAGACUCCGACGGGAGGCAGCAGUGGGGAAUAUUGGACAAGGGGGGAAACCCUGAUCCAGCGACGCCGCGUGGGUGAAGAAGGCCUGCGGGUUGUAAAGCCCUUUCGGUAGGGACGAAGGCUCUCGACCUAACACGUCGGGAGGUUGACUUAACCUACAAAAGAAGCACCGGCUAACUCUGUGCCAGCCGCCGCAGUAAAAC